rnacentral:rRNA from 1 species
CCUACGGGUGGCAGCAGUGGGGGAUAUUGCACAAUGGGGGAAACCCUGAAGCAGCAACGCCGCGUGGAGGAUGAAGGUUUUCGGAUUGUAAACUCCUUUUUUUAGAGAAGAUAAUGACGGUAUCUAUCGAAUAAUCACCGUCUAACUCCGUGCCAGCAGCCGCGGUUAUAUGGAGGGUGCAAGCGUUACUCGGAAUCACUGGGCGUAAAGAGCGCGUAGGCGGGAUAGCAAGUCAGAGGUGAAAUCCUAUGGCUUAACCAUAGAACGGCAUUUGAAACUGUUAUUCUAGAGUAUGGCAGAGGUAGGUGGAAUUCUUGGUGUAGGGGUAAAAUCCGUAGAGAUCAAGAGGAAUACUCAUUGCGAAGGCGACCUGCUAGAACAUAACUGACGCUGAUGCGCGAAAGCGUGGGGAGCAAACAGGAUUAGAUACCCCUGGUAGUC